GAUGAACGCUGGCGGCGUGCCUAAUACAUGCAAGUCGAGCGAACAGACGAGGAGCUUGCUCCUCUGACGUUAGCGGCGGACGGGUGAGUAACACGUGGAUAACCUACCUAUAAGACGGGGAUAACUUCGGGAAACCGGCGCUAAUACCGGAUAAUAUAUUGAACCGCAUGGUUCAAUAGUGAAAGACGGUUUUGCUGUCACUUAUUGAUGGAUCCGCGCCGCAUUAGCUAGUUGGUAAGGUAACGGCUUACCAAGGCGACGAUGCGUAGCCGACCUGAGAGGGUGAUCGGCCACCCUGGAAUUGAGCCACGGUCCAGACUCCUACGGGAGGCAGCAGUAGGGAAUCUUCCGCAAUGGGCGAAAGCCUGACGGAGCAACGCCGCGUGAGUGAUGAAGGUCUUCGGAUCGUAAAACUCUGUUAUUAGGGAAGAACAAUUGUGUAAGUAACUAUGCACGUCUUGACGGUACCUAAUCAGAAAGCCACGGCUAACUACGUG
rnacentral:rRNA from 1 species